rnacentral:rRNA from 1 species
CAGCCGCCACGGUAAUACGAAGGGGGCUAGCGUUGCUCGGAAUCACUGGGCGUAAAGGGUGCGUAGGCGGGUUUUUAAGUCAGAGGUGAAAUCCUGGAGCUCAACUCCAGAACUGCCUUUGAUACUGAAAGUCUUGAGUUCGGGAGAGGUGAGUGGAACUGCGAGUGUAGAGGUGAAAUUCGUAGAUAUUCGCAAGUACACCAGUGGCGAAGGCGGCUCACUGGCCCGAUACUGACGCUGAGGCACGAAAGCGUGGGGAGCAAACAGGAUUAGAUACCCCUGUAGUCCCUGUCUCUUAUAC